rnacentral:ncRNA from 1 species
CGAAUCCCGCAUGGCAGAGCCUAACCAGCAGCCAUAAGCGAGUCUUGCGUCGGGUUGGGGCAACCCACACGGCGAAGCGUAGAUAGCGAACCUGAAAGCAGUGCUAUUGAACUUCGCAAUUUACAUCGCAGACGCCUUUGCUUUAACCCAGGCGGGGGCCGCGUUGAUGUGGCGUAUCGGUUAGCCACGGGCAAGUCUGCCGAGUCGCGGGAACA